rnacentral:rRNA from 1 species
UCGAGGGGUAUUGUAGCAAUACAAGAGACCGGCGCACGGGUGCGUAACGCGUAUGCAACCUACCUUUUACAGGGGGAUAGCCCAGAGAAAUUUGGAUUAAUACCCCAUGGUGUAUUUGAGUGGCAUCACUUGAUUACUAAAGUUCCAACGGUAAAAGAUGGGCAUGCGUCCUAUUAGCUAGAUGGUAAGGUAACGGCUUACCAUGGCUACGAUAGGUAGGGGUCCUGAGAGGGAGAUCCCCCACACUGGUACUGAGACACGGACCAGACUCCUACGGGAGGCAGCAGUGAGGAAUAUUGGACAAUGGGCGCAAGCCUGAUCCAGCCAUGCCGCGUGCAGGAAGACGCAUCUAUGGUGUGUAAACUGCUUUUGUACGGGAAGAAACACCCCCUCGUGAGGGGGCUUGACGGUACCGUAAGAAUAAGGAUCGGCUAACUCCGUGCCAGCAGCCGCGGUAAUACGGAGGAUCCAAGCGUUAUCCGGAAUCAUUGGGUUUAAAGGGUCCGUAGGCGGUUUGGUAAGUCAGUGGUGAAAGCCCAUCGCUCAACGAUGGAACGGCCAUUGAUACUGCCAGACUUGAAUUACUGGGAAGUAACUAGAAUAUGUAGUGUAGCGGUGAAAUGCUUAGAUAUUACAUGGAAUACCAAUUGCGAAGGCAGGUUACUACCGGUGGAUUGACGCUGAUGGACGAAAGCGUGGGGAGCGAACAGGAUUAGAUACCCUGGUAG